rnacentral:rRNA from 1 species
UACGUAGGGGGCAAGCGUUAUCCGGAUUUACUGGGUGUAAAGGGAGCGUAGACGGCAGAGCAAGUCCGGAGUGAAAGCCCGGGGCCCAACCCCGGGACUGCUCUGGAAACUGUUAAGCUGGAGUACGGGAGGGGCGGGCGGAAUUCCUGGUGUAGCGGCGAAAUGCGUAGAUAUCAGGAGGAACACCGGCGGCGAAGGCGGCCUGCUGGACCGUGACUGACGUUGAGGCUCGAAAGCGUGGGGAGCAAACAGG